UUGAAAGGGAAACGAUUGAAGUCAGUCGUACCGACGAGAAAUCAACUUAUCGUGUGCGAACUUGUGGGCGUGCGUGAGUUUCGGCCUCGCUGUUUGCAUGUUUGUGCGCUUUGGGUGUACUUUUUCGUAUGGUAGGCCAACGUCAGUUUCGAUUAUCAUAAAAUGACCGGUGGAAUGUAGCUUCGAUUUCGGUUGAAGUGUUAUAGCCUCUGGUAGAUGUGGUGAUUUAGACUGAGGAUUGCAACGAAUACCCUUUGGGCUAUCCGUCUGGCCUCUGAAAGUUGCUCAGGUGCCGAAAGCGUGCUUACGGUCAUCUAAGAUAACGUUCAACAGGUUAGAACGUGAUUACAUUCGUUAAGGAUGUUGACGUA
rnacentral:rRNA from 2 species